rnacentral:lncRNA from 1 species
ACAAAAUUCAUUUCUUUUCUUGACCUUGAAAAUUUCUGUUUUCCAAAUACCUAGGAAAAAUGAAUACCUUCUGCGUUGAAUCCAUGUAGCAAUCUGAAAAAAGAAAUCAAAAUGGAAUGGUACUGAAAAGCUAAUUUGUAGCACAUAACGGUAUAUAGUUCUAUACCAUUAAUACUAAAACAUGAAUACAGCAUGCUUACAGAGCCCACCCACUCCUAAUACUAGUUAUUAAAGAAACGUUACUGGCUGGGCGCAGUGGCUUAUGCCUGUAAUCCCAGCACUUUGGGAGGCUGAGGCGGGUGGAUUACCUGAGGUCAGUAGUUCGAGAACAGUCUGGCCAACAUGGUGAAACCCCGUCUCUACUAAAAAUACAAAAAUUAGCCUGGCAUGGUGGCACAUGCCUGUAAUCCCAGCUACUCGGGUGGUUGAGGCAGGAGAUUUGCCUGAACCCAGGAGGCGGAGGUUGCAGUGAGCUGAGAUUGUGCCACUGGAGUCCAGCCUGGGUGACAGAGCAAGACUCUGUCUCAAAAAAAAAAAAAAAAGAAAUGUUAUUGUCUGACUAAAUUUAUAAGAUAUGUAUUGGUUAAAACCAUGCCAUGUUGGUGCCUCUUUCAUUAGAGCCUUUAUGUCGUAAUGAAUUUGACUAAAAUUAUCUUAGACUUUCAUUAUCCCAGGCCUAAGAACUCACUGGCAUUUGUUUCAAGGUAACUGAACAAGAAGCUGUUUGGAAUUGGCAGAAGUCAGAUGAAAAACCAAUCUUACAUGCCCCUUCUUCCUCUCUUGAGCUGUUGUUUAUAUUCAAAUUAAAUACACAUUGUUUCUCUCUGUAGAUACCUAUGUACUUAAUAGAUUCUAGUUAGUAAACUGCACAUGCCCAAUAACUUUGAGGAAAUUUAGUGAAAAUGAAGAAAAAGAGAAAAUAUUUCUCUUUAGACCUGAGGUUAUGUUUAGGCUGGCCCAUAGAAACAGGUCCAGAUAAAUUUCUAAAAAAGCAAAGUAGAUAUUUAUGAAUAGUAUUCAAUGCCUAGGAUUAACAUCUAAAAUGACUCAGUAGUACUGCUAGCCAGCCAAUAAAAUAUAAACUCCAUUUGUCUUAGUUAUAUAGAACUGUGUUUCCAGCUUAGAAAAAGUCAAACCAAUGACUUUUAGAACAAUCUACUCUCAUUUUUUAUUCAGCCUCUAGAACAUGGAAGCUUUAAAAGUGAAUUGGCUAAAUAGGCAAGACCUUCUGAAAGUUAACAUCUUAAUGAUUAAAAACAGUAAGUACAGGUUAGUAAUUACCUGGGUAAUUAAUUGAAGCCUUAUUCUGUUUUCAUAAGACUUACUUGCUUAAUUCAAGCAAAACAAAUUUUGGUCUAAAUUACCUAGAUAAUUAUGACAGCUUUUUACUUGAGAAGUGUAGAACUUGCUUCAGGCUACAAAACUGUAUUAUUCCUAAAUGGAUAACCAGGUAGGAUUCUAACUGGCAUUAUUGUAUGCUUAAGAUUGAUUUAACAACAGCUAUUCCCAGUAAGGAAAUUUUAAAAAUCAGAUCCAGUUACAUGUAUUAUGAUUUUUCUACCUUAUGGACUAUUUUGGAGGGAUAAGCUAUUAAGACUAAGACUAUGAAUGAGAGUUGGGGAAGGAGCAGGAAGGGAGGAACCUGCACACCACAUUGGAACCUGCACACCACAUUAACACAAAGGCAAUCUUCUGGCUCGGACUGUUCUUUACUACUGUUCUUAAAGAAAAUGUUCAUUCUGCUGCAGCUAACUAGCCUCCAUCUUCUACACCAAAUACUAUUCCAUGCCAUGGAAGUGCUAUGCAAUAACUCUCCCAGGUAGCACCUUAUACCGCUUAAAAGCCUUUAAAAUCUCCAAUCUGAAGGUGUCACAGUAAAGAAAUGUAAACACUUAGGAAAACAAAAAUGUAAUUACCUGAUGAAGUCAUCUAUGUCCAUGGAACGGGCCCGUUUGUCACUAAAACCUGUGCUGGUUAGGAUUUGCUGUAUUUUAUCUGCUAUGCUGAAAUCUU